rnacentral:rRNA from 1 species
CUUAUAUUCUGUAGCAAGGUUAACCGUAUAGGGGAGCCGAAGGGAAACCGAGUCUUAACUGGGCGUUAAGUUGCAGGGUAUAGACCCGAAACCCGGUGAUCUAGCCAUGGGCAGGUUGAAGGUUGGGUAACACUAACUGGAGGACCGAACCGACUAAUGUUGAAAAAUUAGCGGAUGACUUGUGGCUGGGGGUGAAAGGCCAAUCAAACCGGGAGAUAGCUGGUUCUCCCCGAAAGCUAUUUAGGUAGCGCCUCGUGAACUCAUCUUCGGGGGUAGAGCACUGUUUCGGCUAGGGGGUCAUCCCGACUUACCAACCCGAUGCAAACUGCGAAUACCGAAGAAUGUUAUCACGGGAGACACACGGCGGGUGCUAACGUCCGUCGUGAAGAGGGAAACAACCCAGACCGCCAGCUAAGGUCCCAAAGUCACAGUUAAGUGGGAAACGAUGUGGGAAGGCUCAGACAGCCAGGAUGUUGGCUUAGAAGCAGCCAUCAUUUAAAGAAAGCGUAAUAGCUCACUGGUCGAGUCGGCCUGCGCGGAAGAUGUAACGGGGCUAAACUGUGCACCGAAGCUGCGGCAGCGACGCUUAUGCGUUGUUGGGUAGGGGAGCGUUCUGUAAGCCUGCGAAGGUGUCCUGUGAGGGAUGCUGGAGGUAUCAGAAGUGCGAAUGCUGACAUAAGUAACGAUAAUGCGGGUGAAAAGCCCGCUCGCCGGAAGACCAAGGGUUCCUGUCCAACGUUAAUCGGGGCAGGGUGAGUCGACCCCUAAGGCGAGGCCGAAAGGCGUAGUCGAUGGGAAACGGGUUAAUAUUCCCGUACUUGGUGUUACUGCGAAGGGGGGACGGAGAAGGCUAUGUUGGCCGGGCGACGGUUGUCCCGGUUUAAGCGUGUAGGUGUGUGUUCCAGGUAAAUCCGGUUCACUUUAACACUGAGGCGUGAUGACGAGGCACUACGGUGCUGAAGCAACAAAUGCCCUGCUUCCAGGAAAAGCCUCUAAGCAUCAGGUAACAUCAAAUCGUACCCCAAACCGACACAGGUGGUCAGGUAGAGAAUACCAAGGCGCUUGAGAGAACUCGGGUGAAGGAACUAGGCAAAAUGGUGCCGUAACUUCGGGAGAAGGCACGCUGACACGUAGGUGAAGUGAUUUACUCA